UGUAAAUCGGACUGAAACAGAUAUGAGUAUGUGAAUAUACAUAGCUGGCAUAUAUGUCUCCCCGACAUAUAUAGGAAAGA
rnacentral:sRNA from 1 species